GAUGAACGCUGGCGGCGUGCCUAAUACAUGCAAGUCGAGCGAACAGACGAGGCGCUUGCUCCUCUGACGUUAGCGGCGGACGGGUGAGUAACACGUGGAUACCCUCCCUAUAAGACUGAGAUCACUUCGGGAAACCGGAGCUAAUACCGUAUAAUCUCUUGAACCGCAUGGUUCAUUAGUAAAAGACGGCUUUGGUGGCACUUAUCGAUGGUUCCGCGCCGCAUUAGCUAGUUGUGAAGGUAACGGCUUAUCAAGGCUACGAUGCGUAUCCGACGUGAGAGGGGGAUAGGCCACAUGGGAACUUGACCAGGGACCAGGGUACUAAGAGAGGGACCAGUAGGGAAUCGGACGCAGCGGUCGAGAGCUUGACGCAGCAACGGCGCGUGAGUGACGAAGGUGUUGGGAGCGUAAAACUCUGUUACGAGGGAAGAACCAAUGUGGAAGUAAACGAGGCCGGAUUGACGGUAACGGAUAAGGAAGCCACGGCUAACUACGUG
rnacentral:rRNA from 1 species